CCUACGGGAGGCAGCAGUGAGGAAUAUUGGUCAAUGGACGAGAGUCUGAACCAGCCAAGUAGCGUGAAGGAUGACUGCCCUAUGGGUUGUAAACUUCUUUUAUAUGGGAAUAAAAUGUUCCACGUGUGGGAUUUUGUAUGUACCAUAUGAAUAAGGAUCGGCUAACUCCGUGCCAGCAGCCGCGGUAAUACGGAGGAUCCGAGCGUUAUCCGGAUUUAUUGGGUUUAAAGGGAGCGUAGGUGGAUUGUUAAGUCAGUUGUGAAAGUUUGCGGCUCAACCGUAAAAUUGCAGUUGAAACUGGCAGUCUUGAGUACAGUAGAGGUGGGCGGAAUUCGUGGUAUAGCGGUGAAAUGCUUAGAUAGCACGAAGAACUCCGAUUGCGAAGGCAGUUCACUGGACUGCAACUGACACUGAGGCUCGAAAGUGUGGGUAUCAAACAGGAUUAGAUACCCCAGUAGUC
rnacentral:rRNA from 1 species